UACGGAGGGGCUAGCGUUGUUCGGAAUUACUGGGCGUAAAGCGCACGUAGGCGGCUUUGUAAGUUAGAGGUGAAAGCCCGGGGCUCAACUCCGGAAUUGCCUUUAAGACUGCAUCGCUAGAAUUGUGGAGAGGUAAGUGGAAUUCCGAGUGUAGAGGUGAAAUUCGUAGAUAUUCGGAAGAACACCAGUGGCGAAGGCGACUUACUGGACACAUAUUGACGCUGAGGUGGCGAAAAGCGUGGGGAGCAAACAGG
rnacentral:rRNA from 1 species